AUGCUGAAACCCCCGUUUCUCAUCCGUUCUUUGAAGUUAAGCAUCAUCGAGAUUAGUCAGUACUUGGGAGGGUGACCACCUGAGAGUACA